AGAGGGUAGGGGUAUGGAAAAAGAUUAAAAUGAAAAAUAAACUUGAAACAUACCUAGCAGAAAGCACAUUUGAUUUGAAAGAUUCUUUCCAUUUCAAUUCUCUGUGGGCCUAUUCAUAACAGAGAUAUGGUUACUUAAAAUACAAUUUCUGCGCUGGCUGGUUGAGUCUCUUGAAAAAUGCCUUCCAUGUUUUCCCAAGCCCUCACUUCAACUUCACCACAAAAUUCCUGAACAACAUCUCCAACAGCACCAGCUGAACUCAAGCAGAGUAAUUCUGAAACCUAGUGACACCCCUAAGAGGUGUUGACGCUUGGGCUCACAGAUGCCAGAUUUCAGUUCUUUCUUUUCCCUGCCACCCGACUUCCUACCCCCGACACAUACACACUCCCAAGAUCUCAGAAGGCGUAAAUGUUUUAGGAAAAAAAAAAAAUGACUCUGGUAUUGAUUGAGUCAAGCAGACUAGUAACAAGUUCUCUUUAAAAUACAUACUCAAACUGUGACAAUUCUGUUUAGUGUGGUUUAAACUUUUUUUAAAAAAAUAAUUGAAUCUUUAAAGCAAGAACAGUUUUAAAUUCCCU
rnacentral:lncRNA from 1 species